rnacentral:rRNA from 1 species
AUUGAACGCUGGCGGCAGGCCUAACACAUGCAAGUCGAGCGAGCGGCGGGGGGGUGAGUAAUAUAUAUGGACUGCCCGAUAGAGUGGGGUAACUACUGUAAACGGUAUCUCAUACCGCAUACUCUCUGAUUACCCAUAUGGGAUUAGCUGUUAGGUGAGGUAAUGGCUCACCUAGGCGACGAUCCCUAGCUGGUCUGAGAGGAUGAUCAGCCACACUGGGACUGAGACACGGCCCAGACUCCUACGGAGGCAGCAGUGGGGAAUAUUGCACAAUGGGCGCAAGCCUGAUACAGCCAUGCCGCGUGUAUGAAGAAGGCCUUAGGGUUGUAAAGUACUUUCAGUCGGGAGGCGUUACCGACAGAAGAAGCACCGGCUAACUCCGUGCCAGCAGCCGCGGUAAUAC